ACGGCUCAGUAACACGUGGAUAACAUGCCCUAAGGUGGGGGAUAAUCUCGGGAAACUGAGGAUAAUACCCCAUAGGUCUGAUUUGCUGGAAUGCUUUCUGGCCGAAAACUCCGGUGCCUUAGGAUUGGUCUGCGGUCUAUCAGGCAGUAGUGGGUGUAACGGACCCACUAGCCCGUGACGGAUAUGGGCCUUGAGAGAGGGAGCCCAGAGAUGGACUCUGAGACAUGAGUCCAGGCCCUACGGGGCGCAGCAGUCGCGAAAACUUCGCAAUGGGGGCAACCCCGACGAGGGAAUUCCAAGUGCCAGCACUUUGUGUUGGCUGUUCUCCUGUCUAAAAAACAGGAGGAGUAAGGGGCGGGUAAGACGGGUGCCAGCCGCCGCGGUAAUACCCGCGCCCCUAGUGGUGGUUGAUAUUAUUGAGCCUAAAACGUCCGUAGCCGGUCUUUUAAAUCCUUGGGUAAAUCGGGCAGCUUAACUGUCCGAAGUCCGGGGAGACUGGAAGACUUGGGACCGGGAGAGGUCAGAGGUACUUCUGGGGUAGGGGUAAAAUCCUGUAAUCCUGGAAGGACCACCGGUGGCGAAGGCGUCUGACUAGAACGGAUCCGACGGUGAGGGACGAAGCCCUGGGGCGCAAACGGGAUUAGAUACCCCGGUAGUCCAGGGUGUAAACGCUGCGGGCUUGGUGUUGGGGGUCCUUAGUGGGCGCCCAGUGCCGGAGAGAAGUUGUUAAGCCUGCUGCUUGGGGAGUAUGUCCGCAAGGAUGAAACUUAAAGGAAUUGGCGGGGGAG
rnacentral:rRNA from 1 species